rnacentral:rRNA from 1 species
UAAGCAUAUCAAUAAGCGGAGGAAAAGAAACCAACAGGGAUUGCCCUAGUAACGGCGAGUGAAGCGGCAACAGCUCAAAUUUGAAAUCUGGCGCAAGCCCGAGUUGUAAUUUGUAGAGGAUGCUUCUGGGUAGCGACCGAUCUAAGUUCCUUGGAACAGGACGUCAUAGAGGGUGAGAAUCCCGUAUGUGACCGGCCCGCACCCUUUACGUAGCUCCUUCGACGAGUCGAGUUGUUUGGGAAUGCAGCUCUAAAUGGGAGGUAAAUUUCUUCUAAAGCUAAAUACCGGCCAGAGACCGAUAGCGCACAAGUAGAGUGAUCGAAAGAUGAAAAGUACUUUGGAAAGAGAGUUAAAAAGCACGUGAAAUUGUUGAAAGGGAAGCGCCUGCAACCAGACUUCGCGGCAGUGUUCCGCCGGUCUUCUGACCGGUUCAUUCUCUGUCGCGAGGCCAUCAUCGUCUGGGCCCGCCGGAUAAGACCUUAGGAAUGUAGCUCACCUUCGGGGGAGUGUUAUAGCCUAGGGUGAUGCGGCGAGGCUCGGGCGAGGUCCGCGCUUCGGCAAGGAUGAUGGCGUAAUGGUUGUCGGCGGCCCGUCUUGAAACACGGACCAAGGAGUCUAACAUCUAUGCGAGUGUUCGGGUGUCAAACCCCUACGCGUAAUGAAAGUGAACGGAGGUGGGAACCGCAAGGUGCACCAUCGACCGAUCCUGAUGUCCUCGGAUGGAUUUGAGUAAGAGCAUAGCUGUUGGGACCCGAAAGAUGGUGAACUAUGCCUGAAUAGGGUGAAGCCAGAGGAAACUCUGGUGGAGGCUCGCAGCGGUUCUGACGUGCAAAUCGAUCGUCAAAUUUGGGUAUAGGGGCGAAAGACUAAUCGAACCAUCUAGUAGCUGGUUCCUG